GCCUUUGUUGUGUAGAGGUCAGCACGCUCGGCGCUUAUUCGAGAGGUUAGUGGUUCGAGUCCCGGCAGGGGCA
rnacentral:tRNA from 1 species